GGGUGGGCUCGGGGCCGGGCCGGGGACUGCAGCGGGCAUCACCGGGAGGUUUGUUUGUGUUGUGUAACCAGGGCUCGGCACGCGCGUUGGGUAACGCCGCCGACAUUUCACCUACUUUCAAGCCACUGCUGCGACGAAUCCGUUUGGCCCCAAGUUGUUUUCGCCUCCAAGGAAAGCUGUGCUCCAAAAGCCACCUUCUUUACCGACUUCUGGAAUGGGAGCGCUCCUGCUGGACCCAUCAGCUUAGUCCAAUUAUUCUGUUGCCUUGUUUCUGAAACUGGCUCCAAUGGAUGCUUAUGGGGAAGAGGAACAUGCUGCUGAAAGCAGAUGGGUUGAGUAUGAUAAUGCUUUUGCCCAGAUUCCCCACUCUAACCAGGCUGGGGAAGACUAUGGAAACCAAAAGUGGCUUUAAGCACCUUUAACGCUUUAGUAAUUCUGGGGCUAGGCUGAGUCCAGCUGCUGACCACUGUGCUAGUGCCAAAGCCUACCCAAGACAGGGCAGACUGAGCGCUGGGGCCUACAGAUCUGUGCCUGCAUAAACCACAUGAAGAGAAACCAUCCACCAAACGAAGACUGGAGAGCACGGCAGUGGGAUGAAAGGACCGCAGUAGUAAGAACUGAGGAUUUCUGGAGGCUUUUUUUAACUGCUGGUUAGAGAAUCAGCUGUGAUUUCAACAGCCACAUCAACCAAACUGGACUGAACCACCUCCAGCACAGAAAAAGCCUCAGGGAGGAGAUGAAAAGUGUAAUUAAUUAAUGCUUGUUAAAAUGCUUUGAGAC
rnacentral:lncRNA from 1 species